GCCAGCAUGGCAUAGUGGUUUGAGUGCUGGACUACAACUCUGGAGCCUGGGGUUCAAUUCCCAGCUCGGCCA